rnacentral:rRNA from 5 species
AAGGAUCAUUACCGAGUGAGGGCCCUCUGGGUCCAACCUCCCACCCGUGUUUAUUUUACCUUGUUGCUUCGGCGGGCCCGCCUUAACUGGCCGCCGGGGGGCUUACGCCCCCGGGCCCGCGCCCGCCGAAGACACCCUCGAACUCUGUCUGAAGAUUGUAGUCUGAGUGAAAAUAUAAAUUAUUUAAAACUUUCAACAACGGAUCUCUUGGUUCCGGCAUCGAUGAAGAACGCAGCGAAAUGCGAUACGUAAUGUGAAUUGCAAAUUCAGUGAAUCAUCGAGUCUUUGAACGCACAUUGCGCCCCCUGGUAUUCCGGGGGGCAUGCCUGUCCGAGCGUCAUUUCUGCCCUCAAGCACGGCUUGUGUGUUGGGCCCCGUCCUCCGAUCCCGGGGGACGGGCCCGAAAGGCAGCGGCGGCACCGCGUCCGGUCCUCGAGCGUAUGGGGCUUUGUCACCCGCUCUGUAGGCCCGGCCGGCGCUUGCCGAUCAACCCAAAUUUUUAUCCAGGUUGACCUCGGAUCAGGUAGGGAUACCCGCUGAACUUAA